ACUCGAGUGGCGAACGGGUGAGUAACACGUGGGUGAUCUGCCCUGCACUCUGGGAUAAGCCUGGGAAACUGGGUCUAAUACCGGAUAGGACCAUGCUUUAGUGUGUGUGGUGGAAAGUUUUUCGGUGUAGGAUGAGCCCGCGGCCUAUCAGCUUGUUGGUGGGGUAAUGGCCUACCAAGGCGGCGACGGGUAGCCGGACUGAGGGGUUGGUCGGCCACAUUGGGACUGAGAUACGGCCCAG
rnacentral:rRNA from 1 species